UAGCAGUUUUCAGAAUUUCCUGGCAGUAA
rnacentral:piRNA from 1 species